rnacentral:rRNA from 1 species
UACGGAGGAUCCAAGCGUUAUCCGGAUUUAUUGGGUUUAAAGGGUGCGUAGGCGGCCUGUUAAGUCAGGGGUGAAAGACGGUAGCUCAACUAUCGCAGUGCCCUUGAUACUGAUGGGCUUGAAUAAACUAGAGGUAGGCGGAAUGUGACAAGUAGCGGUGAAAUGCAUAGAUAUGUCACAGAACACCGAUUGCGAAGGCAGCUUACUAUGGUUUUAUUGACGCUGAGGCACGAAAGCGUGGGGAUCAGACAGG